rnacentral:rRNA from 1 species
CAAGGUUUCCCUAGGUGAACCUGCGGAAGGAUCAUUACAGUAUUCUUUUGCCAGCGCUUAAAUGCGCGGCGAAAAACCUUACACACUUGUUUUUCUUAUUUGAAACUAUUGCUUUGGUCUGUCUUAGAAAAAAGUUGGGCCAAAGGUUUACACCAAACUUCAAAAUUUAUAUUGAAAUGUUAUUUUAAAUAUUUGUCAAAUUGUUGAUUAAAAUCAAAAAACUUCAAAACUUUCAACAACGGAUCUCUUGGUUCUCGCAUCGAUGAAGAACGCAGCGAAAUGCGAUAAGUAAAAUGAAAUGCAGAUUUUCGUGAAACAUCGAAACUUUGAACGCACAUUGCGCCCUUUGGUAUUCCAAAGGGCAUGCCUGUUUGAGCGUCAUUUCUCUCUCAAAACUUCGGAUUUGGUUUUGAGUGAUACUCUUAGUCAGACUAAGCGUUUGCUUGAAAAGUAUUGGCAUGAGUGGUACUAGAUAGUGCUGAACUGUUUCAAAGUAUUAGGUUUAUCCAACUCGUUGACCAGUAAAGUAUUUGUUUAUUACACAGGCUCGGCCUUACAACAACAAACAAAGUUUGACCUCAAAACAGGUAGGACUACCCCCUGAACUUAAGCAUAUCAA